rnacentral:rRNA from 1 species
GAUGAACGCUGGCGGCGUGCUUAACACAUGCAAGUCGAACGGAGAGGCCCUGCUUUUGUGUGGUGCUCGAGUGGCGAACGGGUGAGUAACACGUGAGUAAUCUGCCCCUGACUUUGGGAUAAGUUCAGGAAACUGGGGCUAAUACCGGAUACGAGCUCCUGCUGCAUGGUGAGCAGUGGGAAAUUUCGUCGGUUAGGGAUGAGCUCGCGGCUUAUCAGCUUGUUGGUGGGGUAGUGGCUCACCAAGGCGUUGACGGGUAGCCGGCCUGAGAGGGUGACCGGCCACAUUGGGACUGAGAUACGGCCCAGACUCCUACGGGAGGCAGCAGUGGGGAAUAUUGCACAAUGGGCGGAAGCCUGAUGCAGCAACGCCGCGUGCGGGAUGACGGCCUUCGGGUUGUAAACCUCUUUCGGCAGGGAAGAAGCGAGAGUGACGGUAACUGCAGAAGAAGCGCCGGCUAACUACGUG